rnacentral:rRNA from 1 species
UACGGGGGGGAGCAAGCGUUAUCCGGAAUGAUUGGGCGUAAAGCGUCUGUAGGUGGUUUAGAAAGUCUACUGUCAAAGACCAGGGCUUAACCCCGGGAAGGCAGUGGAGUACUUCUAGGCUAGAGUGCGGUAGAGGCAGAGGGAAUUCCGCGUGGAGCGGUGAAAUGCGUAGAGAUGCGGAAGAACACCAGUGGCGAAGGCGCUCUGCUGGGCCGAGACUGACACUGAGAGACGAAAGCUAGGGGAGCGAAAAGG